UACGAAGGGGGCUAGCGUUGUUCGGAAUUACUGGGCGUAAAGCGCGCGCAGGCGGUCUUCCAAGUCAGUGGUGAAAGCCCGGAGCUCAACUCCGGAACUGCCAUUGAAACUGUAAGACUUGAGGAUGAGAGAGGUGAGUGGAAUUCCCAGUGUAGAGGUGAAAUUCGUAGAUAUGGGGAGGAACACCGGCGGCGAAGGCGGCCAUCUGGACGGAUACUGACGCUGAGACGCGAAAGCGUGGGUAGCAAACAGG
rnacentral:rRNA from 1 species